GGCUAGACGGAAAGACCCCGUGAACCUUUACUGCAGCUUGGCUGUGGCACCGGAAAUAAUAUGUGUAGGAUAGGUGGGAGGCUUUGAAGCAGCGGCGCCAGUCGUUGUGGAGCCAUCCUUGAAAUACCACCCUUAUUCUUUUCGUUGUCUAACCGCGUCCCUGGAUGGGACCGGGACCCAGCCUGGCGGGCAGUUUGACUGGGGCGGUCGCCUCCUAAAUUGUAACGGAGGCGCGCGAAGCUACACUCAGGUCGUUUGGAAAUCGACCGUCGAGUGCAAAGGCAUAAGUGUGGUUAACUGCAAGACCUACAAGUCGAGCAGAUGCGAAAGCAGGCCUUAGUGAUCCGGUGGUUCUGUAUGGAAGGGCCAUCGC
rnacentral:rRNA from 1 species